rnacentral:rRNA from 1 species
UACAGAGGUCCCGAGCGUUGUCCGGAAUCACUGGGCGUAAAGGGCGCGUAGGUGGCAUGAUAAGGGUGUGGUGAAAGCCCCGGGGCUCAACCCCGGGUCUGCCAUGCCGACUGUCACGCUAGAGUACUGUAGGGGCAGGCGGAAUUCCGGGUGUAGCGGUGGAAUGCGUAGAGAGUCCGGAGGAAGACCGGUGGCGAAGGCGGCCUGCUGGGCCAGUUACUGACACUGAUGCGCGACAGCG